rnacentral:rRNA from 1 species
GACGAACGCUGGCGGCGUGCUUAACACAUGCAAGUCGAACGGAAAGGCCCUGCUUGCAGGGUACUCGAGUGGCGAACGGGUGAGUAACACGUGGGUGAUCUGCCCUGCACUUCGGGAUAAGCUUGGGAAACUGGGUCUAAUACCGGAUAGGACCGCACUUUAGUGUGUGUGGUGGAAAGUUUUUUCGGUGUGGGAUGAGCUCGCGGGCUAUCAGCUUGUUGGUGGGGUAAUGGCCUACCAAGGCGGCGACGGGUAGCCGGCCUGAGAGGGUGUACGGCCACAUUGGGACUGAGAGACGGCCCAGACUCCUACGGGAGGCAGCAGUGGGGAAUAUUGCACAAUGGGCGCAAGCCUGAUGCAGCGACGCCGCGGGGGGGAUGAAGGCCUUCGGGGUGAAAACGCCUUUCGCUAGGGACGAAGCUUUUUGUGACGGUACCUAGAUAAGAAGCACCGGCUAACUACGUG